CCUACGGGAGGCAGCAGUAGGGAAUCUUCCGCAAUGGACGAAAGUCUGACGGAGCAACGCCGCGUGAACGAUGAAGGCCUUCGGGUCGUAAAGUUCUGUUGUUAGGGAAGAACAAGUGCUAGUUAAAUAAGCUGGCACCUUGACGGUACCUAACCAGAAAGCCACGGCUAACUACGUGCCAGCAGCCGCGGUAAUACGUAGGUGGCAAGCGUUGUCCGGAAUUAUUGGGCGUAAAGCGCGCGCAGGCGGUUUCUUAAGUCUUAUGUGAAAGCCCCCGGCUCAACCGGGGAGGGUCAUUGGAAACUGGGAAACUUGAGUGCAGAAGAGGAAAGUGGAAUUCCAAGUGUAGCGGUGAAAUGCGUAGAGAUUUGGAGGAACACCAGUGGCGAAGGCGACUUUCUGGUCUGUAACUGACGCUGAGGCGCGAAAGCGUGGGGAGCAAACAGGAUUAGAUACCCUGGUAGUCCACGCUGUAAACGAUGAGUGCUAAAGUGUUAGAGGGUUUCCGCCCUUUAGUGCUGAAGUUAACGCAUUAAGCACUCCGCCUGGGGAGUACGGUCGCAAGACUGAAACUCAAAGGAAUUGACGGCUGAGAGNGCGACGACGACACAGGAGGAGG
rnacentral:rRNA from 1 species